rnacentral:rRNA from 1 species
GGACCUGACUGCUAUCGGAUUGAUACUAAGCCAUGCGAGUCUUUGUAGUAAUACAAGGCAGACGGCUCAGUAACGCGUAGUCAAUCUACCCUAUGGACGAGGAUAACCUCGGGAAACUGAGAAUAAUACUCGAUAGAACAUUAUGCCUGGAAUGGUUUAUGUUCCAAAUGAUUUAUCGCCGUAGGAUGGGACUGCGGCCUAUCAGUUUGUUGGUGAGGUAAUGGCCCACCAAGACUAUUACAGGUACGGGCUCUGAGAGGAGUGGCCCGGAGAUGGGUACUGAGACACGGACCCAGGCCCUAUGGGGCGCAGCAGGCGAGAAAACUUUGCAAUGUGCGAAAGCACGACAAGGUUAAUCCGAGUGGUUUCUGCUAAAGAGACCUUUUGUCGGUCCUAGAAACACCGAUGAAUAAGGGGUGGGCGAGUUCUGGUGUCGGCG